rnacentral:rRNA from 1 species
UACGUAGGGUGCAAGCGUUGUCCGGAAUUAUUGGGCGUAAAGAGCUCGUAGGCGGCUUGUCGCGUCGACUGUGAAAUCUCAGGGCUCAACUCUGACAUUGCAGUCGAUACGGGCAGGCUAGAGUUCGGUAGGGGAGACUGGAAUUCCUGGUGUAGCGGUGAAAUGCGCAGAUAUCAGGAGGAACACCGGUGGCGAAGGCGGGUCUCUGGGCCGAUACUGACGCUGAGGAGUGAAAGCGUGGGGAGCGAACAGG